CACAGGAACUUUGCUGACUCUAGAGAACCUCAGGCAAAUCGCACAUCACCGUGGCGGUGACUUUGCAUGAGGAUGUCAUCCAUAUCAACUUUCGAUGCCAGUUUCUGUGUCUACCAUGGCCAUGGGUAACGGGGAAUCAGGGUUCCAUUUCAUACAAGGACCCUGAGAAAUGGCUACCACAUGCAAGGAAGGCAGCAGGUGCGCAAAUGACCCACUCCCGAUGCGGGAAGGUAGUGAUG